rnacentral:rRNA from 1 species
GGGUGGAUUAGUGGCGAACGGGUGAGUAACACGUGAGUAACCUGCCCCUGACUCUGGGAUAAGCGUUGGAAACGACGUCUAAUACUGGAUAUGAUCACUGGCCGCAUGGUCUGGUGGUGGAAAGAUUUUUUGGUUGGGGAUGGACUCGCGGCCUAUCAGCUUGUUGGUGAGGUAAUGGCUCACCAAGGCGACGACGGGUAGCCGGCCUGAGAGGGUGACCGGCCACACUGGGACUGAGACACGGCCCAGACUCCUACGGGAGGCAGCAGUGGGGAAUAUUGCACAAUGGGCGAAAGCCUGAUGCAGCAACGCCGCGUGAGGGAUGACGGCCUUCGGGUUGUAAACCUCUUUUAGUAGGGAAGAAGCGAAAGUGACGGUACCUGCAGAAAAAGCACCGGCUAACUACGUGCCAGCAGCCGCGGUAAUACGUAGGGUGCAAGCGUUGUCCGGAAUUAUUGGGCGUAAAGAGCUCGUAGGCGGUUUGUCGCGUCUGCUGUGAAAUCCCGAGGCUCAACCUCGGGCUUGCAGUGGGUACGGGCAGACUAGAGUGCGGUAGGGGAGAUUGGAAUUCCUGGUGUAGCGGUGGAAUGCGCAGAUAUCAGCGAAAGCAUGGGGAGCGAACAGGAUUAGAUACCCUGGUAGUCCAUGCCGUAAACGUUGGGCGCUAGAUGUAGGGACCUUUCCACGGUUUCUGUGUCGUAGCUAACGCAUUAAGCGCCCCGCCUGGGGAGUACGGCCGCAAGGCUAAAACUCAAAGGAAUUGACGGGGGCCCGCACAAGCGGCGGAGCAUGCGGAUUAAUUCGAUGCAACGCGAAGAACCUUACCAAGGCUUGACAUACACCGGAAACGGCCAGAGAUGGUCGCCCCCUUGUGGUCGGUGUACAGGUGGUGCAUGGUUGUCGUCAGCUCGUGUCGUGAGAUGUUGGGUUAAGUCCCGCAACGAGCGCAACCCUCGUUCUAUGUUGCCAGCGGGUUAUGCCGGGGACUCAUAGGAGACUGCCGGGGUCAACUCGGAGGAAGGUGGGGAUGACGUCAAAUCAUCAUGCCCCUUAUGUCUUGGGCUUCACGCAUGCUACAAUGGCCGGUACAAAGGGCUGCGAUACCGUAAGGUGGAGCGAAUCCCAAAAAGCCGGUCUCAGUUCGGAUUGAGGUCUGCAACUCGACCUCAUGAAGUCGGAGUCGCUAGUAAUCGCAGAUCAGCAACGCUGCGGUGAAUACGUUCCCGGGCCUUGUACACACCGCCCGUCAAGUCAUGAAAGUCGGUAACACCCGAAGCCGGUGGCCUAACCCUUGUGGAAGGAGCCGUCGAAGGUGGGAUCGGUGAUUAGGACUAAGUCGUAACAAGGUAACCA